rnacentral:pre_miRNA from 1 species
GUCAUCUGGGGAUCUUGUUAAAAUGCAGAUCCUGAUUUGAUCAAGUGGGGGACAGGUCUAAGGUUCAGCAUUUCUAACAAGCUCCUAGGUGAUGCAGA